CUCCUACGGGAGGCAGCAGUAGGGAAUCUUCCGCAAUGGGCGCAAGCCUGACGGAGCAACGCCGCGUGAGUGAGGAAGGCCUUCGGGUUGUAAAACUCAGUCACCUGGGAAGAGAGGUAUGGGGAGUGGAAUGCCCCAUACGAGACGGUACCAGGGGAGGAAGCCCCGGCUAACUACGUGCCAGCAGCCGCGGUAAUACGUAGGGGGCAAGCGUUGUCCGGAAUCACUGGGCGUAAAGCGUGCGUAGGCGGUCUUUCAAGUCCGGGGUGAAAACUCAAGGCUCAACCUUGAGAAUGCCUUGGAAACUGGGGGACUUGAGUACUGGAGAGGCAAGGGGAAUUCCACGUGUAGCGGUGAAAUGCGUAGAGAUGUGGAGGAAUACCAGUGGCGAAGGCGCCUUGCUGGACAGUGACUGACGCUGAGGCACGAAAGCGUGGGGAGCAAACAGGAUUAGAUACCCUGGUAGUCCACGCCGUAAACGAUGAGUGCUAGGUGUUGGGGGUUCAUCCCCUCAGUGCCGAAGGAAACCCAAUAAGCACUCCGCCUGGGGAGUACGGUCGCAAGACUGAAACUCAAAGGAAUUGACGGGGGCCCGCACAAGCAGUGGAGCAUGUGGUUUAAUUCGAAGCAACGCGAAGAACCUUACCAGGGCUUGACAUCCCUCUGACCGGUUCAGAGAUGGACCUUCCCUUCGGGGCAGAGGAGACAGGUGGUGCAUGGUUGUCGUCAGCUCGUGUCGUGAGAUGUUGGGUUAAGUCCCGCAACGAGCGCAACCCUUGACCUGUGUUACCAGCACGUAAUGGUGGGGACUCACAGGUGACUGCCGGCGUAAGUCGGAGGAAGGUGGGGAUGACGUCAAAUCAUCAUGCCCUUUAUGUCCUGGGCUACACACGUGUUACAAUGGGCGGUACAACGGGAAGCGAGACCGCGAGGUGGAGCGAAACCCAAAAAGCCGUUCGUAGUUCGGAUUGCAGGCUGCAACCCGCCUGCAUGAAGCCGGAAUUGCUAGUAAUCGCGGAUCAGCAUGCCGCGGUGAAUCCGUUCCCGGGCCUUGCACACACCGCCCGU
rnacentral:rRNA from 1 species